rnacentral:rRNA from 1 species
GACGAACGCUGGCGGCGUGCUUAACACAUGCAAGUCGAGCGGUAAGGCCCUUUCGGGGUACACGAGCGGCGAACGGGUGAGUAACACGUGGGUGACCUGCCCUCAGCUCUGGGAUAAGCCUGGGAAACCGGGUCUAAUACUGGAUAUGACUCCAUGACGCAUGUUGUGGGGUGGAAAGCCUUGUGCGGCUGAGGAUGGGCCCGCGGCCUAUCAGCUUGUUGGUGGGGUGAGGCCUACCAAGGUGACGACGGGUAGCCGGCCUGAGAGGGCGACCGGCCACACUGGGACUGAGACACGGCCCAGACUCCUACGGGAGGCAGCAGUGGGGAAUCUUGCGCAAUGGGCGAAAGCCUGACGCAGCGACGCCGCGUGAGGGAUGACGGCCU